rnacentral:rRNA from 1 species
CCUGGCGGCGAGUGGCGAAGGGGUGAGUAAUGUAUCGGAACGUGCCCAGUAGCGGGGGAUAACUACGCGAAAGCGUAGCUAAUACCGCAUACGCCCUUAGGGGGAAAGGCGGGGAUCCUUCGGGACCUGUCACUAUUGGAGCGGCCGAUAUCGGAUUAGCUGGUUGGUGGGGUAAUGGCCUACCAAGGCGACGAUCCGUAGCUGGUUUGAGAGGACGACCAGCCACACUGGGACUGAGACACGGCCCAGACUCCUACGGGAGGCAGCAGUGGGGAAUUUUGGACAAUGGGGGCAACCCUGAUCCAGCCAUCCCGCGUGUGCGAUGAAGGCCUUCGGGUUGUAAAGCACUUUUGGCAGGGAAGAAAUUGCCUGGGUUAAUAGCCUGGGCCGAUGACGGUACCUGCAGAAUAAGCACCGGCUAACUACGUGCCAGCAGCCGCGGUAAUACGUAGGGUGCGAGCGUUAAUCGGAAUUACUGGGCGUAAAGCGUGCGCAGGCGGUUCGGAAAGAGAGAUGUGAAAUCCCAGGGCUCAACCUUGGAACUGCAUUUUUAACUACCGGGCUAGAGUGUGUCAGAGGGGGGUGGAAUUCCGCGUGUAGCAGUGAAAUGCGUAGAGAUGCGGAGGAACACCGAUGGCGAAGGCAGCCCCCUGGGAUAACACUGACGCUCAUGCACGAAAGCGUGGGUAGCAAACAGGAUUAGAUACCCUGGUAGUCCACGCCCUAAACGAUGUCAACUAGCUGUUGGGG